ACUCCUUUGGCAGCUACAUGGCAUCUCUUUGACUCCGCCUACUCUCUCUCUAUAUUCUGUUCGGAUUUUCUGCCUGGCAUUAUUCUAUUAAGCCUUGGCUGAAAGCAGCUUCUGUAUUAGCUAAUGGCAAUAAAACAUAUUCACAGCAUCCAGAGGGGAGACCCACAUCAGGGUCACAGUUCUAGAGGGAUGAGAGUCCAUCAGCAUCAUAGCAGGGAAGCGUGGCAGCAGGCAGGCUUGGCUACAAGGAAUAGCUGGGAGCUCACAUCUUAAAUGGCAGACAGCAAGCAGAAAGAGCUGACAUGAUGGGAUCUCAGAGGUAUAUCUUCUCCUACCACCAUCCUCCACCCUCUUCGAACAAAUUAAGGUGCUCCUGCUAGGUGCUCUCCAGCCCCUCUUGAGAGGAGGAAGAUUGGAGAUGGUCUUGAACUCUGAUCCUUCUGCCUCUACUUCCCAACUUCUGGCAUUAUAGGUAUUCAAUACCAUACUCAGUUUAAUAAUAUGUGUAUGGAGUGUGUGUGUGUGUGUGUGUGUGUGUGUGUGUGUGUGUUCAGAGGCCAGAGGUUGGCAGUGAGUCCUUUAUCCCUCUUCACCUUAUUUUUUGAGACAGGGUCUCUCAGUGAACCUUCAGCUCACUGGUUGCCUAGAUGGCUGGCCAACCAUCCCCUCCCCCACCCCCCCAUUCUUCUAUUCGACUUCCUCCGUGCUGGAAUUGUAGUCCUGCGGCCAUACUUGCAUGGGAGCUGGAAUCCAAACCCAGAUCUUUUCUCUUGUUCUGCAGGUACUUUACCAACUGUGCUGUCUCCUUUACCCUGGACAUUUUCCCUUCUGAUUGGACCCGGGCCUCCAGACCAUGGAUGGUCCUUUACCAUCAAGCUAUACUCUAAACUGAUAAUAAGUAUUUGAUCCGUGGGUUUGUUGAUGACUUUGAGCCGUGCUGGAUUUUUGUUUGGGAGAUGUUUUUCUUUGUUUGUUUGUUGUUUUGUGAUUCUGAGGCUUUAGCACAGCCUUCUGCAUGCUCAGCAAAAGCUCUACUGGUGGGUUGUGUAUGCCCAUUUCUCCUCCUGUAACACUUUCUCUCCUUGUCAGUGCACCGUGAUGGCUUCUCAGUUGGAAUGAGAAUGGAACCUCUGAGGACAGACACUGUUAUUUGAGCAAUAUUACCUGUCCAGAGCCCGGCUGUCCAGUGACAGCAUGUCAAAGCCACAGUUGCUCCCAGUCAGUCACCGAACCCCACCCUCUUGGCUGGAGAGUAGGUGUGCGACCUAGUUCUGGCCAUCGGGACAGGAAGAAACAACUCAAGAAAGAAGGUUUAUUUGGCUCCCAGUUUGAGCGAAUGGCCCAUGGUCGCAGGGACAGCACGGCACUAAGAACAGCUACAGCCCUGGUGGCAGAAGAGGGUCUGCGGUCAGGAAGCCGAGAGACAAGUGCUGGAGUUCACAUGACUUUGGGGCCCCAGCCCUUGGAGCGGUGCUGCCCGUAUUCCAGGGUCUUCCUUCCCCAGAUAAACCUGUCUGGAAACACCCCCAGACAUACCCCAGCAGCGAAUCUCCUAGGUGUCUCUAGACCCAGUCUGGUUGACAGUGAAGAUUCCAUUCUUCUCCCUUCUGUCAUUCCCUGCCCUGUUUAAACAUCUCAUCAACCAAAAUUAGCUUCUUCUUUUCUUGUGUAUGUGCACAUGGGUGUGUAUGGAAUCCUGUUUGGUAUGGGGAAUCUUCUUCAAUUCUCUUUCCACCUUAUUCUUUUGAAGCAGGAUCUCAGUCGAACCCAGAACUCACCAAUAUUACUAGUCUUGGUAGCCAACUUGCUGGGGAGACUCCUGUCUCUACCUUCCAUGGCUAGAAUUGCAGGCAAGCAGCCACACCUACCCAGUAUUUUUAUAUGG